UACGGGGGGGGGCAAGCGUUGUUCGGAAUUACUGGGCGUAAAGGGCGUGUAGGCGGCCAACUAAGUCCGACGUGAAAUCCCCAGGCUUAACCUGGGAACUGCGUCGGAUACUGGAUGGCUUGAAUCCGGGAGAGGGAUGCAGAAUUCCAGGUGUAGCGGUGAAAUGCGUAGAUAUCUGGAGGAAUACCGGUGGCGAAGGCGGAUCCUGGACCGGCAUUGACGCUGAAGCGCGAAAGCUAGGGGGAGCAAACGGGG
rnacentral:rRNA from 1 species